rnacentral:misc_RNA from 1 species
UCUCCGUAGGUGAACCUGCGGAGGGAUCAUUACUGAGUGAGGGCCCUCGUGGUCCGACCUCCAACCCAUUGUUGUCCGACUCUGUUGCCUCGGGGGCGACCCUGCCGGCACUCUGUCGCCGGGCGCCCCCGAAGGUCUCCAAACACUGCAUCUUUGCGUCGGAGUUUAAAACAAAUUAAACAAAACUUUCAACAACGGAUCUCUUGGUUCUGGCAUCGAUGAAGAACGCAGC